rnacentral:misc_RNA from 1 species
UUUCCGUAGGUGAACCUGCGGAAGGAUCAUUAUUGUAUAACCGAGAUGCGAGGGCUGUCGCUGACCCGAAAGGUCGUGCACGCCCGAGUGCCCUCACACACAUCCAUCUCACCCCUAUGUGCACCACCGCGUGGGUCCCCCUUUGGCUUGUUCGGAGGGGGGCUUACGCUUUCACACAAACUUUGUAUGCAGUGUAGAAUGUAUUUUUUGUUUUUGCGAUCACGCAAUCAAUACAACUUUCAACAACGGAUCUCUUGGCUCUC